rnacentral:rRNA from 1 species
UACGUAGGCAGCGAGCGUUGUUCGGAAUUACUGGGCGUAAAGAGUGUGUAGGCGGUGCUCUAAGUCUGUCGUGAAAUCUCCCGGCUUAACCGGGAGGCUGCGGCGGAAACUGGUGUGCUAGAGGGUGGGAGAGGUAAACGGAAUUCCUGGUGUAGCGGUGAAAUGCGUAGAUAUCAGGAGGAACACCUGCGGUGUAGACAGCUUACUGGACCACUUCUGACGCUGAGACACGAAAGCGUGGGUAGCAAACAGG